rnacentral:rRNA from 1 species
GACGAACGCUGGCGGCGUGCCUAAUACAUGCAAGUCGAACGCAGUGGGGACGGGUGAGUAACACGUGGGUAACCUCCCAUCAGAGGGGAUAACACUUGGAAAAAGGUGCUAAAACCGAUACUGAUGGAUGAACCCGCGGUGCAUUAGCGAGUGGGGGAGGUAACGUCCCACCAAGGCCACGAUGCAUAGCCGGCCGGAGAGGGUGAUCGGCCACACUGGAACUGAGACACGGCCCAGACUCCUACGGGAGGCAGCAGUGGGGAAUCUUCGGCAAUGGACGAAAGUCUGACCGAGCAACGCCGCGUGAGUGAAGAAGGUUUUCGGAUCGUAAAGCUCUGUUGUUAGAGAAGCGGUAUCUAACCAGAAAGCAACGGCUAACUACGUGCCAGCAGCCGCGGUAAUUC